UGGGGAAUUUUGGACAAUGGGCGCAAGCCUGAUCCAGCCAUGCCGCGUGCGGGAAGAAGGCCUUCGGGUUGUAAACCGCUUUUGUCAGGGAAGAAACGCUCUGGGCUAAUACCCUGGGGUAAUGACGGUACCUGAAGAAUAAGCACCGGCUAACUACGUGCCAGCAGCCGCGGUAAUACGUAGGGUGCAAGCGUUAAUCGGAAUUACUGGGCGUAAAGCGUGCGCAGGCGGUUAUGCAAGACAGAUGUGAAAUCCCCGGGCUCAACCUGGGAACUGCAUUUGUGACUGUAUAGCUAGAGUACGGUAGAGGGGGAUGGAAUUCCGCGUGUAGCAGUGAAAUGCGUAGAUAUGCGGAGGAACACCGAUGGCGAAGGCAAUCCCCUGGACCUGUACUGACGCUCAUGCACGAAAGCGUGGGGAGCAAACAGGAUUAGAUACCCGUGUAGUCCCUGAGCGGGCUGGCAAGGCGC
rnacentral:rRNA from 1 species